rnacentral:rRNA from 1 species
UACGUAGGGUGCAAGCGUUGUCCGGAAUUAUUGGGCGUAAAGAGCUCGUAGGCGGCUUGUCGCGUCGGCUGUGAAAACCUGGGGCUCAACUCCGGGCCUGCGUCCGAUACUGGCAGGCUUGAAUUCGGGAGAGGGAUGCGGAAUUCCAGGUGUAGCGGUGAAAUGCGUAGAUAUCUGGAGGAACACCGGUGGCGAAGGCGGCAUCCUGGACCGAUAUUGACGCUGAGGCGCGAAAGCCAGGGGAGCAAACGGG